rfam:Tetranychus urticae London genomic scaffold, scaffold_5
GGCUGGUUAGCUCAGUCGGUUAGAGCGCCGUGCUAAUAACGCGGAGGUCAUGAGUUCGACCCUCAUACUAGCCA